GAUGAACGCUGGCGGCGUGCCUAAUACAUGCAAGUCGAGCGAACGGACGAGAAGCUUGCUUCUCUGAUGUUAGCGGCGGACGGGUGAGUAACACGUGGAUAACCUACCUAUAAGACUGGGAUAACUUCGGGAAACCGGAGCUAAUACCGGAUGAUAUUUUGAACCGCAUGGUUCAAAAGUGAAAGACGGUCUUGCUGUCACUUAUAGAUGGAUCCGCGCUGCAUUAGCUAGUUGGUAAGGUAACGGCUUACCAAGGCAACGAUGCAUAGCCGACCUGAGCGGGUGAUCGGCCACACUGGAACUGAGACACGGUCCAGACUCCUACGGGAGGCAGCAGUAGGGACUCUUCCGCAAUGGGCGAAAGCCUGACGGAGCAACGCCGCGUGAGUGAUGAAGGUCUUCGGAUCGUAAAACUCUGUUAUUAGGGAAGAACAUAUGUGUAAGUAACUGUGCACAUCUUGACGGUACCUAAUCAGAAAGCCACGGCUAACUACGUG
rnacentral:rRNA from 1 species